UCGGGAAUCUUGCACAAUGGGCGAAAGCCUGAUGCAGCAACGCCGUGUGAGCGAGGAAGGCCUUCGGGUCGUAAAGCUCUGUUGUUGGGGACGAAGGGCGAAGGGUUAAUAGCCCCCAGCCUGACGGUACCCUUCGAGGAAGCCCCGGCUAACUACGUGCCAGCAGCCGCGGUAAUACGUAGGGGGCGAGCGUUGUCCGGAAUUAUUGGGCGUAAAGAGCGUGUAGGCGGCCCGGUAAGUCUGCCGUGAAAACCUGGGGCUCAACCCCGGGCGUGCGGUGGAUACUGCUGGGCUAGAGGAUGGUAGAGGCGAGUGGAAUUCCCGGUGUAGCGGUGAAAUGCGCAGAGAUCGGGAGGAACACUAGUAGCGAAGGCGGCCACCUGGACCAAGACUGACGCUGAGGUGCGAAAGCGUGGGGAGCAAACAGGAGUAGAUACCCCCGUAGUCC
rnacentral:rRNA from 1 species